rnacentral:lncRNA from 1 species
CAAACUUAUAAAUUAAAGUUACAUUAAAUUCAUCGCCGUUUGUGAAUUCAUAAAUUAUUAUUUAAAUAAAUAAAUCAGUGGCAAUUUGUGUUUUGUAAUUUUGUUCACAUUUUUUGAUGUAUUCAUUUGGUGCAUUUGUUGAGUGGUGGAUAUUUUGUGCCAAAAAAUGAGUUUCAAAAAACAAAGAAGUAACAAAAAACAGAUUGAGGUUUUGGUAGAGUUCAUGUCUACCCAUAAUCAUCUUGCCACUGGGGAGUUCACAGGCCCUUUAGGAGGUAAAUGGGCCAGAUAGGUCAAUAAACCAAUGGAAACAGACAUGGAAGGACAUUAAAAAAAACUCACGCUCGGAAAAUGCAGCCUCGUCUCGAGCGAGGCACACUACUGGGAACUAUGUAACUGUCCCAGUAGUAUCAGAUAUAACCAAUAAGGUGCUGUCCAUUAUAGGACAGGAGGCCUCCACAGGCAUUGGGCCUGAAGAGACCGAAAUAGGCCCAUAUAGUAUAGAUGAAAGGCUGAAACAAAGGAACGAACUGCUCUCUGAGCAAAAUAAUUUACUCAGGGAGCAAAAUACACAUCUGCGUAGCAGAAAUAAAAUUAAAAGAAGAAACAGAUUUACACAUCGAUUUUUUUAAGUGCAUUUGAAGGACAUAAGAAAGGAAGAAAGGAGAAAGAAAUAAGAAGAUUCAUAGAAGAACUAAAGUACCCCCCACUCAACAACUCAACUCUUACUCUUAACUUAACUUACUCAACAAGAAAAAAAAAACUUGUAGCUAAAACACUCUCUCUCUGUCUCUGUAUAUUUC